rnacentral:rRNA from 1 species
GGCGCAAGCCUGAUCCAGCAAUGCCGCGUGCAGGAAGAAGGCCUUCGGGUUGUAAACUGCUUUUGUACGGAACGAAACGGUCCUGGUUAAUACCCGGGGCUAAUGACGGUACCGUAAGAAUAAGCACCGGCUAACUACGUGCCAGCAGCCGCGGUAAUACGUAGGGUGCAAGCGUUAAUCGGAAUUACUGGGCGUAAAGCGUGCGCAGGCGGUUGUGUAAGACAGGCGUGAAAUCCCCGGGCUCAACCUGGGAAUUGCGCUUGUGACUGCACAGCUGGAGUGCGGCAGAGGGGGAUGGAAUUCCGCGUGUAGCAGUGAAAUGCGUAGAUAUGCGGAGGAACACCGAUGGCGAAGGCAAUCCCCUGGGCCUGCACUGACGCUCAUGCACGAAAGCGUGGGGAGCAAACAGGAUUAGAUACCCUGGUAGUCCACGCCCUAAACGAUGUCAACUGGUUGUUGGGUCUCUUCUGACUCAGUAACGAAGCUAACGCGUGAAGUUGACCGCCUGGGGAGUACGGCCGCAAGGUUGAAACUCAAAGA